rnacentral:rRNA from 1 species
AUGACAAACCAGAUACGAUCAGCACAUGUGACACAACAAGGACCUUCAACUACAAUCAACAGCGGCGUGGGGACAUCUACUGCGGGAAGCUCUGAGCGCAUGGAAGAAGCAUUCAACCAGCCAGCCAACAAUCAUGCCACAAACAAUGCGGAGUCAGUGUCGGAAAUGGCAAUCGUUCUAGCAAUGUCGACAAGCACACCUUUGCACACCAGCACAGGCAACACUCAAGCAGAUGAAACAGCAGCCGAUACUGAAGUGAAUGAUGAAACUGAUGAAGAAGCACAAGGGGAUGAGGAUGGUGGGCAAUCAGAAAUCAUGGUACCUCAGCCACCGUAUGUUGGGCAGAGAUUUGAUUUGUUCGAAGAUGCCAAGGAAUUCUACCGGAGAUAUGCAAUGUUCCAUGGGUUUGCGGUCAACACCGAAUACCAUAGGAAAAUUAAAAAAAACUAA